UACGUAGGUGACAAGCGUUGUCCGGAUUUACUGGGCGUAAAGAGCGCGCAGGCGGUCGAUCAAGUCGAGUGUGAAAGCCCCCGGCUCAACUGGGGAGGGUCAUUCGAUACUGAUCGACUCGAAGGCAGGAGAGGGUAGUGGAAUUCCCGGUGUAGUGGUGAAAUGCGUAGAUAUCGGGAGGAACACCAGUGGCGAAGGCGGCAUCCUGGACCGGCAUUGACGCUGAGGCGCGAAAGCCAGGGGAGCAAAGCGGG
rnacentral:rRNA from 1 species